UACAGAGGUCUCAACCGUUGUUCGGAUUCAUUGGGCGUAAAGGGUGCGUAGGCGGCGGGGUAAGUCAGGUGUGAAAUCUCGGGGCUCAACCCCGAAACUGCACUUGAUACUGCCUCGCUUGAGUACUGGAGAGGAGACUGGAAUUUACGGUGUAGCAGUGAAAUGCGUAGAUAUCGUAAGGAAGACCAGUGGCGAAGACGAGUCUCUGGACAGUUACUGACGCUGAGGCACGAAGGCCAGGGGAGCAAACGGG
rnacentral:rRNA from 1 species